AUAAUUCAUCCUGAACUCCAGGUCCACCAUUUCUCCUCUGGAAACAUGGAAACACUGGCUGUGAUUUGCUUCUUUUCAGCUCUCGUAGGUAACAGCCUGGAAGAUGAUAUAACUCCCAGCAGAGCUGAAGUGUUUUCAUCAGAGGGUCAAAGAGAAACUCUGUCCUGCAACUACUCAGUUGCAGCUGAGAACCUGCAGUGGUAUCGACAGGAUCCUGGAUCAGGUCCUCAGUUCCUUCUCCUCAUCACUGAAUCAACAAGUCCAACUGUGGUGGAAGCAGAACCUCCAUACCCUGGACUGACUGUAGAACUGAAGAGGAACAGAAAACAACAGGAUCUGGAGAUCUCCUCUGCUGCAGUGUCUGACUCUGCUGUGUACUACUGUGCUGUGAGGCCCACAGUGACAGGA